rnacentral:rRNA from 1 species
AUUGAACGCUGGCGGCAGGCCUAACACAUGCAAGUCGAGCGAGCGGCGGACGGGUGAGUAAUGUAUGGGGACUGCCCGAUAGAGGGGGAUAACUACUGGAAACGGUGGCUAAUACCGCAUACUAUCGGAUAACCCAUAUGGGAUUAGCUAGUAGGUGGGGUAAAGGCUCACCUAGGCGACGAUCUCUAGCUGGUCUGAGAGGAUGAUCAGCCACACGGGGACUGAGACACGGCCCGGACUCCUACGGAGGAGGCAGUGGGGAUUAUGGCCAAAGGGGCGCAAGCCUGAUGCAGCCAGGCGGCGGGUAUGAAGAAGUCCUGAGGGUUGUAAAGUACUUUCAGCGGGGAGGCGUUACCCGCAGAAGAAGCACCGGCUAACUCCGUUCCAGCAGCCGCGGUAAUAC